UGGGGAAUUUUGGACAAUGGGCGAAAGCCUGAUCCAGCAAUGCCGCGUGUGUGAAGAAGGCCUUCGGGUUGUAAAGCACUUUUGUCCGGAAAGAAAUCCUUGGCUCUAAUACAGUCGGGGGAUGACGGUACCGGAAGAAUAAGCACCGGCUAACUACGUGCCAGCAGCCGCGGUAAUACGUAGGGUGCAAGCGUUAAUCGGAAUUACUGGGCGUAAAGCGUGCGCAGGCGGUUUGCUAAGACCGAUGUGAAAUCCCCGGGCUAACCUGGGAACUGCAUUGGUGACUGGCAGGCUAGAGUAUGGCAGAGGGGGGUAGAAUUCCACGUGUAGCAGUGAAAUGCGUAGAGAUGUGGAGGAAUACCGAUGGCGAAGGCAGCCCCCCUGGGCCAAAUACUGACGCUCAUGCACGAAAGCGUGGGGAGCAAACAGGAUUAGAUACCCUGGUAGU
rnacentral:rRNA from 1 species